AGCGAACGCUGGCGGCAGGCCUAACACAUGCAAGUCGAACGAACUCUUCGGAGUUAGUGGCGGACGGGUGAGUAACACGUGGGAACGUGCCUUUAGGUUCGGAAUAACUCAGGGAAACUUGUGCUAAUACCGAAUGUGCCCUUCGGGGGAAAGAUUUAUCGCCUUUAGAGCGGCCCGCGUCUGAUUAGCUUGUUGGUGGGGUAAUGGCCCACCAAGGCGACGAUCAGUAGCUGGUCUGAGAGGAUGACCAGCCACAUUGGGACUGAGACACGGCCCAAACUCCUACGGGAGGCAGCAGUGGGGAAUCUUGCGCAAUGGGCGAAAGCCUGACGCAGCCAUGCCGCGUGGAUGAUGAAGGUCUUAGGAUUGUAAAAUCCUUUCACCGGUGAAGAUAAUGACUGUAGCCGGAGAAGAAGCCCCGGCUAACUUCGUGCCAGCAGCAGCCGCAGUAA
rnacentral:rRNA from 1 species